rnacentral:rRNA from 1 species
GCCAGACUCCUACGGGAGGCAGCAGUGGGGGAUAUUGCACAAUGGGGGAAACCCUGAUGCAGCGACGCCGCGUGAGUGAAGAAGUAAUUCGUUACGUAAAGCUCUAUCAGCAGGGAAGAAAAACCGACCAUAGGGUCGCUAGACGGUACCUGAUUAAGAAGCCCCGGCUAACUACGUGCCAGCAGCCGCGGUAAUACGUAGGGGGCAAGCGUUAUCCGGAUUUACUGGGCGUAAAGGGAGCGUAGACGGCAGCGCAAGUCUGAAGUGAAAUGCCGGGGCUUAACCCCGGAACUGCUUUGGAAACUGAGCAGCUAGAGUGCAGGAGAGGUAAGUGGAAUUCCUAGUGUAGCGGUGAAAUGCGUAGAUAUUAGGAGGAACACCAGUGGCGAAGGCGGCUUACUGGACUGUAACUGGCGUUGAGGCUCGAAAGCGUGGGGAGCAAACAGGAUUAGAUACCCCCGUACCC